CUGUUUUAUAAAAUAUAAUUUAUUCUAUACACAUAUUAAAAUUAAUUUUUCUAUUUUUUGAAUUUAAAAGCAAAUAUUAACGAGCCAACUGUUUCGAAUUGUGAAUUAGGAAAGUAUUUGACUUUGAUCAUCGAGAUUAUAGGACUUCGAUAAAGGGAUAUCAACCGGCAAGUUACGCAAAAAAAAAAGUCGAGAUGUGGAAAUAAAAAGCAUUGGAACGGUUGGCAUCUGUUUCACGCGCAUGCUAGCCUCGCUCAUGACGUCAGAGGGUGAAAAAUCAAUCCACCCUUGUACAGUGCGGCAAGAUAGGAUUGUAUAUCUGGCGGCCACAGUCGCCAUCAUUAAAUUAACCGAAUUAAUUGUACUUGUCUAAUCGAUCGCCCUUGGGCCAAUUUUCAGUUUUAGAAUUCUAACGAUCGAUGAUGUUUCGGAGAUUUUUCUUGGAUUUGUUAGAAUGGAUUUUUAAAAGGAAGAUGCAGAGAUGAUUACAUAUUGAAAUAUUUGACAGUAUAAAGAAUUUAUUGAAUGUCGCAAAGAGAUGAUGAUAGAGAAUCUUAAUGUAGGAAAAAUGACUGCUUAGAAAAGAAAAAAGAAGAAGUGGAUAACUUAAUUAUUAUUCAAUGCAACGUGGCAAAAAGAUUUCCAAGUAUGAAGGCUUGAAAUAGUAUUUUUACAUUUGUAAAUUCAUUUUAUGAAAGUUCUGCAAUGAAAUUGGCAAUGAGUCUGGGAACUAUGAUUACGUAAUAGUUAUGAAUGAAUUUCAUUGUAAUAUUGAAGUUAUUUUGGGAAGCAAUAUUAAAGCUUCAAGAAUCCAAAUUACUUUUGAAACUAUACUAUACUUUGAAGAUUAUAAUAUUUAAAUUGGUUUAUAGACUAUAAUUGAAUUUUCAUUUUUUGAAAAUUUAUUUUGAAACUUGUUUAUUUGAUUUGCUUCAAGAAAUUGCUUGUAAUAUUAUAAAAUUGAAAUUAAAAUUGAAAACGACUGUUGCAUAGCUCGUUAAGACAUACAUCCAUGUAAUUGGAAUAAUGCUUAUAUAAUGCAUUACUUCGAAAACAUAAGAAAAAUUUUAGCAUAAUGCAUAAAUUUCAAAUUGCGUGAUAUAGAAGGCUUGAAAAUGACCACGAAAAUAUAUUCCAGUGAAUUUUAUUAAACGCUGAAUGCUUUAUUCCAUUUCAAUGCAUUUUUUAUUCAUCGCAAUGCACCUUUUGCGCAGUAAUUGAAUUGAAACGCUGACGUCGAAUGACUUCGAGAUGUUGCGCCUUCUUGCAUCUUUUCAUGUAUUUUAUAUUUUCUAUUUGUUAGAAGGAAUAA